rnacentral:rRNA from 1 species
CCGUAGCCCAAGAGAUCGAGAUAACACCUGGAAACAGAUGCUAAUACCGGAUAACAACAGAUGAUGCCUAUCAACUGUUUAAAAGGUGGUUCUGCUAUCACUCUUGGAUGGACCUGCGGUGCAUUAGCUAGUUGGUAGGGUAACGGCCUACCAAGGCGAUGAUGCAUAGCCGAGUUGAGAGACUGAUCGGCCACAUUGGGACUGAGACACGGCCCAAACUCCUACGGGAGGCAGCAGCC